AUUCCAGCUCUAAUAGCGUAUAUUAAUGUUGUAGCAGUUAAAAAGCUCGUAGUUGGAUUUUGGAGUUUGACAAGUGGUCUGCCUAAGGUGUGUACUGCUUGUCGGCUCUUCUUUUCUGGGGACCACGCUGCUCUUUAUUGAGGGGUGCUGGGAAUCAGAUCUUUUACUUUGAAAAAAUUAGAGUGUUCAAAGCAGGCCCACGCAUUGAAUACAUUAGCAUGGAAUAAUGGAAUAGGACUUUGGUCUUAUUUUGUUGGUUUCUAAGGCCGAGGUAAUGAUUAAUAGGGAUAGUUGGGGGCGUUUAUAUUCCAUUGUCAGAGGUGAAAUUCUUGGAUUUAUGGAAGAUAAACUACUGCGAAAGCAUUCGCCAAGGAUGUUUUCAUCA
rnacentral:rRNA from 1 species